GCCCUUUCAGGAGGGCAGGGAGUAAAAGGCAUCGCUAGCCGCAGCAAAAGGAAGCCCGAAAGAAAUGGCCUGGGCUCUGCCCCAAAGCGAAUGCUUCGGCGUGGAAAGAAAGGGAAAGCGUGACCAAGAAGAAAAAGAGGGUCUGCAGAACAUCAGUUAGAAAGAGAUCCGGUCCUGACGAAGGAUAUAUCACUUCCACGGAAAAUGAACGUGGAAGAAAUAGCCAUCAGCCUGUGAAUACACAAAACACUGAUACUUAGAGCAACGUGAGGCUCUAACAUGAUGCAUAAGUGUCCAACAACACCCAGCGUCUCCAAGAGCGGUGCUGAGCAGCCCUGGCCAGGCUGGAGGCUGCACUCUGUUCACCCUUGCUCUUGGUUUGAAUCUGGUCUCUACUUGUGCUCCUGCUGUUCAAGUGAGGGCUUGUGAUGGUAUAAGCAGAAAUAACUUCAUUAUCUCUUCUGCCGUAGGCAAGUGCGGCUGAGUGCAAGUGUAUUCCCAUUAAGUCAUGUGCAUUAACUGUGUGCUACUUGUAGGGAACUAGGAAACUACUACACAGUCUCCAAAUUGUUUUAUUUCUUUCCUCCCAUCCUCCCCUUACUAGGAAUGGAUUAAAAGUGCAGUCUCUUUGCUUUUUCCUUUCUAAAAGGGGAAGGAAAUGGCAGCGUGAAGCUGAGAGCAAGAUUUCCCCAUAAUAUAAAACAGUACACUGCCCCUGAUGUGGAAGGAAAUAUGCUGAUUUAUAUCCACAAAGACUGUAGCUUUCUAGCAUACUAAAUAUCCUGUGCUAGUGCUGCACCAGGUACUCAGCUGAGGUAUACAACUGUCCAGUGCUCACAGCACUGUGGGGAAAUGUUUCUUUAAAAAAAAAAUAAAAGCAGGCAUUGUAAUGCCAUUGUCUCAUUAUGUGGCUCUCGCAGUGAAGACAAAAGUAACAUUCCCAUCAAUGUCAACAGGAUGAGAGUAUGCCCCUCAGAGAAUAUUUCAUAUUGUUACAUCCUUUCAUGACUCGAACAAAAUUUCAUUCCUGGAUAACAGCCCUGGUUUAUGAUAGGAAAUAAGUGCUCUGUCACACCCCGAUAAUUAGUACAUCACAGGCAGAAUGUAAAACCAGGCAGUAAAAUGACACUAAGUUUCUGGCAGAACUUUGAGCCGCAUAUAAACCAUAAACAAGAUGAUACAGACAAGACAUGGUUGUACUCCUUCCUUUCAGAGAGGCUAAUAAUAGAAAGGUCAAUGCCUCCAGGAUAAAACAAAAUACUGAAGAUAAGCUCACGCUGGAAAGCAGUCACGAUGCCAUUGCCGCGCUUCAUAUUCACACAGUAGAAAUCGCAGCACAAGCAGCUUUGGCCAUAUGCCUUUCUUAGUAUAUAACGGACUUCUUA